rnacentral:tRNA from 1 species
GGCGCCGUAGGUCAGCACCACGGCCAUCUGCAGGAUGGUCUUGACCCGGGCGCUGAUCUUAUCGGCGGUGACGCCG